UGAACUCAGGAUUUGCUGGCUCUUGUAACUUCUGUGCGUUUUUUUUUCAGGCCGUGCUGAGUCAAACGUCAAAGUUCCUCCUGAUUGUAAUAACUUUGCAUAUGUGUAUAUAUUUAAUAUACACUCGUGUAUUUUAUUUUUGUGCAUAUAGGCUAUGUGUGUGUAUACAGCUAGAAAAAAAAGAAAACGUGACUGUGUAUACGCACGUGUCGUUUCUUACCGGCUCCUAAAAUACAGGUGUCUCUGUGGGAAACCAGUUCUGAAGCUGUUUAUUGUACGAUAGUUCAGGAAGUUGAGAGUAUUGUGUUCUCUUCCAUGAUUUCCCAUGCUGGGUAGCUCGUUUCACCUCAAAAAUUAGCAUCUCAGCCUGUUUCACAGAAGACCCCAAUAUUUAUAGUAAUCAUAGGAAAGAAUGUUGUCCGCUGGGACGGAGCAGGAGGCUGUGGAUCAGGACUCAGGGUUUGGUUGUCUUUUUCUACUCAUUUUAUGGCCUGGGACUGUUCUUAUCACUCUUCUGUGCCUCUGUUUAAUAGCAAAAUGGGACCAGUAACAUUGAGUUACCUUGCGUAGAACUACUAAAAGAUGAAAUUGAAGUUUGGAGACCUUUUAGUCGCCUUUGGCAUCAGAGAAACAGAGCAGUUAUGAGAUGUGUUCCUGUGGUUUGGCUUUAUUAAUAAUAUGAACUCCUUCAGAAAUUGUACUAAUGAAAUGAAGCUGGGAAACAAACCAGAAGCAGAUAAAGACAGAAGCUGAAACCCUUCAUGAGCCGUUAGACAAUGUACUAAGAAGGGAUGGCUAUAUUCUUGCAUUGUUUCUUGUAAAAAUUCUGAAAUGCAUACAGAAAAUAGAUUUCUCUAUGGAACAAAAAUUAGCAGAACGCUGACAUUCCAAUAUUUUUUUAAAGCAAGACAGAUCUGGAAAGAAAUAUACUGGGAAUUACGAAAAUGUUUCAAAAUGAAAAGUUGAAAGUAAAGUUGAACAAAACCUCUUGGCUCAGAAAUGGCUCUCGGGUUCCUUGACUCCUUCUCCGCCAGCUAUGCCGGACUGCUGGUGCAUGGCAGCCUGAAAGCCCUGAGGUCCAAGCUGUGAGCCAGAAACAGAUAUAUCAUAAGCAGGAUUGGUGUGGAAGCAGACCUGUGAACACAAGUGUUCCUCUGCUUGAGCUCCAGCUUUGUCUCCUUUGCCAGCGCUGCUGCGUAUGGCUGUUGAGGCUGUCCAGCAUGUCUCAGUAUUGCUAUGAGACGAAUGAUAGCAGAAGAUGUCUGAGCACCCUGCAUCCCUGGGAAAGGCACAGAGGUUGUGCCUGCUGCAGGUUGGACGUGAAGAAGUGCACAUCCCUCUUUUUUUGCCUUCUUGCUGCAGACUCAUUCAACAAGGCCAUUCAGGACUGAAUUCAUUUCCAGGUCCAUCCUUUUUUGAAGAAACCAUCCCCAUGGAUGUCAGAAAUAUGAAUGAAUUCAGAUCUCCGUUUGGCAGCUGGAUGAGAAGGGAAUGCCACCGCAAAGGAGGGAUCGCUGAGGCGAGGCUGAAGUUGUAUUCAAAGGCAGCAGCAGUGCUGUGCAUUGCACAUGUCGUAGAAUCACCGCUGUGAUCAGUCAGCCCCUUCCCUGGAGGGACUCUGAGUUCUGACUGCAUUUGGGGAAGUCAAGACCUGAGCAGAUCCUUUUUUAUUUCUAUUCAUUCUCAGGAAAGCGCUCCUCGACGAGUUGGGCCUAGCAAUAUGGCAGCGCACGUUCGAUAAGAAAUCCCGUCCAGUGCUGCUACGAGGACCAUGUGCUCCCUGACCCAUUGCCUCGACUGCACACGCUGCAGGGCGAGGGCUUUUGGAAAGCUGAGGGCUCUCGAGUUGCACGUGGGCUCCUACCUAAAAGCUUUCCUGGUUUUGCAAAGAUGCUGAACCCUUGCACCUCCCAUUCUUGGUCUGAAUUUUGGGCGCUGAGAGCUGUGGAAAAGCUGGAUGCUUUAAAGGAAGAAAUGCUGUCAGAUAGCAGAGAGUUGGAGCUGGGGGAAUUUUCUGGAUCGGUUCGUAAAGCGAAGGGAUUCUUUCUCUUUAAAAAUAGAAUGACAAUAGCACCCCGGCCCAGUAAUGACUUCUCUGAAAGUUAAAACAACUCUUAGGCAGUUGCUCUGUCUGCUUUCACCAGGCUGCCAGCAUGGAAACAAGACCACUCCUUGCGGGAUGGGGGUAUGUGUUUAUUGCACUGCAGUCUGCGCACAAAAACCGCUCUUUCUUAAUUCGCUGCCCCGUUAGCGAUGGCCAUGACUUCUUCAGUGCUGUGUAACCAUCAGCGAUUCUGUCCAGGGAAGUAGUUAGGAGAGAAAAACCCGCCGAUCUCCUGCUUCGUUUUAUUUGUUUUAAAAUUGGCUUUGUUUUACUGAGGUUUUGAAGGAAACUGUAGCAACAGCGCUGAUGUUUUAGCAAAGCCACGAGGCGGCUCUUCCCCCCCCUGCCCCCCCCCCCCAAAAAGAAGCGGUGUUAAGGUGCAGAGGGGCACGAAGGCUGCUGCCUACUAACAGCUCUGACAUUUCAUUUGCAGAAAUGGUUUUCCUCUUAAAAAAAACAAAAACAAAAACAGAAACAAAACGCACAACAAAAACAACAAACCAAACCCAAAAGCCAAAGCUAGCAAAUUGCAGAAGAGACCCAUGCCUGUUGCCACAAACCCGUAGAUCCGAACUUGUGGUCAUAUUCCACACAAGCUUGUAUCUAUAGGUAUGUGUCUGUCUGGCGAGUGCACAAAGUGUUGUGUUUCUGCGUUUACACUGACAAUGUUCGAUUCUGCUGCUUGUGUCUUUCGUCUAAUGCUUUCUUCCCUCCUCCUUUUUUUUUUUUUCCUUUUAAGAAAUGUAAAAUUAGAGCUGCGAAUCUUGCUCGGCAAUUACCGUAUCAGUUUCCAGCUUGGGUUAGUGUUAAAAUACGCUCAUACCAACCGGCAGCUCAUUUGUGCCUGAACGAAAUGGGACGGGGGAGGUACGUGACAUCAGCCCGAAGAAAUGAAAUCUCAGCGACGUUACACGUGGGUCUGGCCAUGGGGCAUGGGCAGGGGUGGUUCUGAGGCCGUUGGAAGCAGAGAAAACUGUUUCAUUUAUGAAGUGACGGGGAUCCAUUCUUUGCUCGGUGACGAUUUGUUUGGGAGAGCAAGAGGCGCUUCUGUUCGCCUGUAUUUUGGGUAACUUCAGUCCCUGCGCGCAGUGCAGCCAUGCAGCUCAGUGCCAGAGCCGCCCGUUGGCUCUCCAGCUCCUUUCUCCCUCUAAAAUCAGCUCAGUGUAGCAGCCAGUUUCUCCUAAUUUUGUGGUAUUUAUUUCAUUUUAAAUGGUUUUUAAAGUGGAGCAGGGGAAAAACCCAUGUAAGCAGGCAGUACGAAACCUGCUGGGCAAAACUGACACUUCUAAGUGGAACAAUUACUUUUGAAGAAGUUUUCUUAAACCCCAGCAUACAGAUUCUGCGUGAAAAUAAUUAGAAUGUGAACUCAAAAUAAAGUCUGACUGUUUCUUUCCAGCAGCUUUCAGUGUGAAUUUUACCAAAGAUUUGGUCUGUAUUUCCACUUUUAAAUUUCUCUGUUUUGGAACUUGGCCGGUUUGACGCACACUGCUGCGGUCCAGAAAUGUUGUUUUCUUUUUUUCUCCCCUGCUGAAUUUCCAGGGUUUUCUGUGUGUUUUCUAGUUAUUGUAGAAGCGUAAAACGAUGGCAGAGAAGGCCUCUGCUAAUAGAAAUGCAGUCUAGCUGCUUUUGUUUCUCCCUGUGGACUGAAACUAGCAGGGGGUGACUGAGAAGGAUGCAGGAUGCUCUUCCAGGCAAAGGUGUUGCAAGGCCGUGGCGAAGCUUUGCUGUGAUUUGCUGCCCAGAACGUGCACCUGAAGUCUGGAUCUCCCCUGGGCGUUGGUUGCCAUCACCUGUGAAGUUGCUGGAAGCUCCCAGUGCUCAAACACUGGUUCCUGCCCCCUCUUUCCCCUUUGCUAGUGGACGUUGUUUCUGCUAUGGUGGGAUGAGUAGGGUUUCGCCCGCGUUAGAUGCAGGAUGAGGUUGCAUCUCGUUGUGACUGUGAGGUUUGCUUUUUCUAGAGAGGCUGUUCUGGUUUUGCUGCUUUUCUCUUGUGUUUAAAUGCCGUGAAUAUUCAGUGCAUUUAUGGCUAUCUGGGAAGACUUGGCUCAUUCAGUCUGACAUCCAAAGAGGAAUGGCCUGGCCAAGCACAGUUCCCAAUAUAACGCGUGUUUCAAUGCGUGGUGGUCUCUUCCCUGUCAAGCCAUUCGGAGACAUCAGGCAUCUGGCAAUGUGCUGAGAGACGCUUGGAAUCUGUCACUGUGGGUUUUGGAGUCUGCCACUUCAGGUGACGUUGCGUUGGGAGUGCCAAAAGCCCAUGGCAGGGGAAUGGGGCUCAUGUGUCGCAAAAUGAGGUAGCCCAUUUGGGCUUGUGGGGAGUUUGAAAGCAUACUUUUGGAUUAGAUAAAUCAGUAUUUGAAUCAAAGGAGAGGAGAGAGCGCACGGACUACAUUGGGUCUGAUAUUUUAGUGCAGUUCCUCACCACGCUGGGCAAUGCUGACCAAUAUCCAACUUUUGUUUGGAGAGAGUCUUGACCUACCCAUGGCUAGAUGCUUAGAAAGCAAACGUGAGCCAUGUGCCAUCAGACAUGGGGCCGAGGUGCCUGCCCGUUGCUGCUGGGCUCUGGGCUCCCCUCUGGUGCUCAGCUUGCUUUCUGGUCGCUGCUGGUUUUCUGCUGCUUGGCAGAGGACGAGGGCAGCUGUGCCCCUGUAUGGGGAUGCAGCAGCUCAGCCCAGCGUGAGCUGGAGAUGCUCCAUGCUCUAUGGGACAGGUGGACAUGCCCAGAGAAGCCCCUUGGACACCUUUGCCUUCUGCAGCACUUCUUACUGCAGAGCAGGCCCACAUCACGUCACUAAUUUUUUAAAUUUUAGUUUAUUUUCCUUGCUAGGCUCCCCCCCCCUUUUUUAGCCGUGGCCUCUGAUACUCUCCCCUGCCCCUUUGUUUCUCAGCUCAGCCUUUUGAAAAGAGCUGUAUUGUGUUUUCGGCGUUAAUUUGUAUUUCUUUUCCGUUGGUUGUAUUUCACUGCACUUCAUUAAGUUUUAGAGUGAAACUCGAGUCUGACAAAAUGAUGGGAAGAGCCUUGAAAUGUGUCUUCCCUCUAGGAUGGAAGAAACUAAUUGGAGGCUGCGGUGCUUCUACCUGGAUGUUUCUCGUGAAUAUUUUCCCUCGCUUAGUUGAUGAGGAGCUUACAUUUAUGCAGCAGCUUUGAUCUGAGUGCCAGACAGAGUGCACAGAGAUCUCUUCAUCUGUCACCGAGGCACAGCGGCCGCAUCCCAUUGCGCAGGCGCGCUGCAGGGUCGCCACGGGCAGGGAGUGCUGGAUGCUUCACCCGGUUUGAUGUUGCAGGGAACAGAAAGAAAGAGAAGGCAGCUACCGGAGCUGGAAACAAACCAGAGCCCCUGCAUGCAGAAUGUACCAGGAGGGCCUCUGGGACAUGAAAAUAUCACAACAUCCUCUCAAAAAUUGGUACCUUGAUUAGUGCAGUGCGGUCUCUAGCGAUAGGCAGUCAUUGCUUUAGCACCUCCCAAGAAAAAAUGCCUCCUGUGGAGCUACCUGGGGACGUCUGUGUCUAGGGAGGCUCUGCUGCAGUAGUGCUCCAUUUCGCCAGUUAGUCUAGAAGCAGAAGUUCUUGUCUGAAGAAGAAAAGCAAGCCUUUUCCAAAGCGAACUCCUCUUGUUCUUCAAAUUCGGUAAAUCGUGGCUUUCUCCCUCAAAAUGACAAGACCGUUUCUCCUUUCUGUGAAUGACAUCUUUCACUGAAAGGCCGUUUGCAGACAGGCGUGUUGCGCAGCAUCCACUGGGGUGCAAAAAUGAUUUCACUUGCUUGCUCCCCCUUUUCCCAGUCUCGUUUGGUGCAGAGAACAGCGAGCGGUGUCAGCAGAGAGGAGCACACAAUAGCAUUCGGGUAAUUAGGAUAACCAUAUGCAGUGGCAAAUGGGAAUCAUGAUAAGCAGAAUGUGAUUGUGUACCCUGGAAUUUGAACCUUAUCCAAAUACUCUGAUUCGAAUAAUCAAAUCUCCUCAAACUCUUAAAAGGCAGAUAAAUUACUAUUUCAGUAAUCUGGGUUUUUUUGUUUUUUUUUUUUUUCUGGUGCUUUGUUUAUUUGCUUUUAAUCAUUGAGGGAGAAAAUAGGGAGAGGAUGUGCUUAGACACGGAUGUUUGGGACUAAGACCCCCAUCCUUGAGCCAGGCAGUCUCCAGCACUUUAGAAGCAUCAGCCACAGUGAUCUGAAGGAGGAGAGGAAGGUGCAUGUGAAACCAGCGUUGGCUCUGGGAUCUCCUCAUGCUGUGCAGAGCCUCCUACAAGAGCGUUCAACCUGGGCUCGCUGAGCUUCCCACCAAAGCCAUGUGGCACUGCUCAGCCACAGAACAGGCCUGGGCUAAGAAAAGAAAGCAGUGUGUUUUGGAGGUCAUUUAGAGUCAUCAGCCCUUCAGCUUGUCUACCAGCAUCACUGAGCCAGCCCUGGGCCCAGCACUGAGUGUCUGUAUCCAACCCAGGGCUGCAGCUACUGACACAAAGCUCUCCGUGCUUCAGCAGUAAGUGCUUGGUUACCCUUCCCCUAGAAACUACCAGAUACUGAAAUAUAAUAUUGAGUAAAUCUUCAGAUUGCUGUAACCCUUGCUAAAAAUUCAAGCACGGACCGUUUUUGUAAUGCGUUGAAAAGUUGUGGGUUGCUUUCAAAAUAUCGUAGUUGCUCUGGAUGUCAGCUGAGCCCAGAUGAGGCUUCUUACCUUAAUUUGCAGACUCUCCAAGUCCCAGCCCGGCUCAGCCCACCUGCCAGGCUUCUAGGAGUGCUCCCUGAGCUGGAGUAAACCUUUGAACCUCUUGAGGUUCCUCACCCGAGUCCUAAUAGCAAAGUUGCAUCAAAUAAAGCUCAAUGGGCGAGCUGAUCAGAUGGAAUCACGUCAGCAUUUCCAUUGUAAAAUCUCAUCUGUCGGAGGUUUUUGAAAGUCCUCUGUGAAACGGAUCACUCUGAGCUGAAGUUUAGCAAACAAGAUUUCAGACCUCAAACCAGAACGGUAUCAUUUGUGGGUUUGGGUAUUUAUUUUUUUUCUCCGUGACUUCAGGAAAUAUAUUUGCUUCGGGAGUAUUUUCUGCUUUCCACCUCCUCCUUGGCGAGCCCUGAGGUUGCCUGCCUGGGAUCUGAACGUGAAGGUGGGUUCUUCCUUCUUCUGUAUCCUUCACGGUCAAAAAGGCUCAGAGCCAAAUCUCAGCUGAUGAUUUUGCAGCUGAUCAUAACAAAAUAGAAUUCUGCUUCCUUGAGCUCAUCGGUACUGAAGUUCCAUUGCUGCCAUCAUUGCUAUCUUGACUCAGUGUGGUCAAUAGGAGUGGUCUGCAAAUGCACACACAGUACGGUAUGGCUGCGGAGGAUUAAUGGCUGGAGCACUGUUUCUUGUGUCAUUGCUUUUUGGGGAUAUUCUACCCUCUGAAAUGCUGCUUUUCUGUGGAACGUGCAGCUUUCCAUUGCAAAAUGUUUUAAAAGAAUGGAAUAUUCCAUUGAGUCCUCGAAAAGCAGCGCUAGGUUAGAAUUCUGCCAGCAUUCCUGGGAAGCCAAGUGCAAAGUUUGGAUUCAUCCAACACAGAGUAGGGGAGGCAGGUUUCUGAGUUCUGCUGUCACCUGAAGUCCGUUGGGAGAACAUGCAGUAAAAUGAGUGAUGCUCUGCAUCCCUUCCCAGUCCAGGCUCCACCUGCACCUCAGUCUGAUGUUGUCUGGGGUCUGUGGGCUGCUGUUUACUCUGGAGAUGCAUCAGCUUAAAUAGGAAUGCAUGGCUCGGCGUGCAAGGCAGUUCUCCCCACAACUAUAUUUAAUGGGAACUUUUAUAACAUCGAUACGUAUUGUAAUUGAACAUUGUCAUUAGGUUACAUAUUUACCCUAAUUACGUAAUUAGGUAUGAUUGUGCUAAUUGAGUAAAGACGUAAUUGACUAAAAUCACCAGAAAACAAACACGGAGAGUCAUGCCACCAAAAGGAAGUGUUACAAUAGGCAGUGGUGCUGGGAAUCCCUGCUGCUCUCCUCCCGGAAGAGGAACGUUCGUGGUUCAUAGGCAGUUACCAAGCAGACAGGUGUCGUGAAGGUGCCGGGUGAUGGUAAUUAGGUGACUUCUGUUUUAAUAUUUGAUCUCAGUUCCUCAGCUCGGCUCCCCAUGGCAGUAGUAGCAGCAGAUACUCUAAUUGACGGCAUGACUGGAUGCGUGACGCUUUUUUUUUUCUCCUUGAAAUGACUGUUCCUCCGGGGGUGCAAAUACACUUUCAUCUGUCCUGGCUUCAUUGAAGUGGUGGGAACAGAAUAUCUCAUUCUGAGGCCAGGCUCUCACUGAUGGCAAAUCUCGCCCUGAUAAUCUGUGCAGCAAGCUGCGGGGGUGUCUAAAAAUUGACCAGAGGGUGAGUAUGGGACAGAAACUUCUUCAGUGUUUAAAAACACUUUAUCUUAAAGUCUCUUUGUUUUUCUCCGUAAAGCGGCUCUAAAGCAGGCAUAGGUCACGUACAGGCCCACAGAAAAGCUUGUUUAUUCCUAUCGCGUUUUUUUGGAAGGACUUUGGGUAUGUGAGAACUGGUGCAGAGGGGUGUGUAGGAACUGGGACACAAAUAUUGUCUCGGUGAGACCCCUGCCCCAUGUUGGGAUGCUGCCCCAGCAUCUUGGGGUGGGAGGAAGCCCAGCGGGGUGCAGCUCCCAGCUCCCUGCAGCGCUGGGGAGGGAGCGAGAACGCUCCUUGAGCGAGUGCCAGCACGGAGCUGACAGCUCAGGGGCUGGGAAACGUGGCAAUGAGGAGGAAGCUGAAGUUGUGAUGGAAAGGAGGCAGGGAGAGGUGGCGAGACAGGAGCAAAACAGUCCCGGUGGCAUUUGCCAACCUGAGAAAAAUUUAGGCUAUUUAGGCUCAAGGUGAGAAUAUUGCUCAUGAAUUAUUUUCUCUUACGUCUGCGAAAGGACCUUUGCUGAGCUGAGGAUGCAACUGAAACAAACCAAUUUUUCUUCCCCUUCUAUUUUGGAGUGAAUUCUUGGAGGAUGUUUUGCUCAGCGCUGCUCGUAACUGCCUGGUCUGCAAGGUGUGCCUGUGCUGGUGCCAUCGCAGUGCUGACGUUGGCAGUGAUCUCCUUCAUUAAAAUGAUUAGAUGCUGAUAACCAUUCUUUAAAAGUUUUGAAUUGUGCAAUAUCUAACAUUUAUGGCAAGGUUGAGAUGCAGGAAAGUACUUCACAGAUAAAUUGUAGAGCAAAUGAGUAGCCUAUCCCCGUGAUACUGAAAUGGUUUAGCUUGUAAGUAAGCUCUGUUAGCUGCAGAAUGUGAAACAGGACUUCUUCAAAAGUCAGAAGAGGUGACAAGCCUCCUGUGUCACAGAACUGAGUGGGAUUUGGGGCCUCCUGCCACCCUACAUGAGGUUCUCUGGAUUCCAUAGAGCUGCACGGGUUACAUCUGUGGGUAUCGUGUCUGAGGGCAGAUGCUCAGUGCGCAAAGGGGUGGAAUCGUGUCAAGGAACUGGGAUGAUUCAGGGUGCUUUGGGACAGCAGUAAAGCUCCCAGUCUGAGAGCAGGGCUGGAGAACCGUGGUGUCCUGAUCCAGAUGUGUGGCUGGAUCACUGCUCUGAGAAAUGAACUUGUUAACAGUGACUGUCCUGGUACGGUACCACACUGUGCCGUUAACUGAGAAACUGUGCUGUAUCCACAGAGCCUGACGGUUCAAAGUAAACUUUCCUGAAUACGUAGUCAUUAGAAAUUCCACUAGUACUAUCCACAGCAAGUACAUUUAAACCUUGCAGAAAUGCUCUUUUUCUUUCCAAUUUUCUUCCACGGUUGCGAGCUGAAUUCCAGCGAGUGGUAUUAUUUCUCAUCUUCCUCCUUUGCUUUCUAGGCAGGCUUUGAAUGCAGAGGUAGGGCACUGGCUUCUUCGUAAUCGGCAACGCUACUUUAUCCGAGGAAAAUAGGAGCAGCCGAGAUGCCAUCUAUUCAGCACAGCUCAGCACUCAUUCAUGAGGUCUGAUUCCAAUGUAAUCCCCUUCCAGUGCAGAGCCGCUGUGCCUGAGGAUGCAUUCACCUGAGAGCAGGAUCUCAGAGCUGAUUCAGUUCCACUGUUUGCACUAGCAUAUUUUAAGAUGCUAAUCCCUGUUUGUAAGCUGUAAUAAAUAGGCAGCAUACUGCUUUAAGCACUAGCUUGGUGGGUAAUGGGAAUGAGUCACAAAGAUAACAUCCUGGUUGUUUGACUGUGAACUAAUACAAGUGAAAAAUGUAAUGAGUUCCUUGUUAAGGGAACACUGUCUUAUUCUGACUGCUGAGGCAGGCUCAGUAUUGCAUUUCUGAAAGCAUUAAUCUGAGCAAGGAAUUGAUGCAAGGGUAAAAUGUACUUAAAUGUUUCACCCCGUUUUGCAGUUCUCCCAAUCCCACUUCUGCAGUCGUCCCUUAAAUGCUCAGCAGCCCAGAUGCAUGUUCCAGAGUCAACGCUAUGCGUGUUCAAAAAGGAAAAGGCAUGUUAGGACAAACUUCACCCCAAACCUUUCUGAGAGCUUUAGAAAAUGUAUGUGUAUGUUCUGUGCUGUAGUUUAGAUGCCUCUGCUAUGGAGGGGGAAAAAGCUUUUUUUUUUUUAGGCCAGGACCAAAAUUCCUUCUUCUGUGAAGAGUGUCCAUGAUCUCGUUUGUACCUAGCAGCAAUGACCAUGGCUUCCUGUGUCUUAUGUACCGACAUACGCAGUGCGGGAGAGUUGCGUUUGGUUUGGUGCCUUUUCACCCACAAAAAAAAAACCCCAUUUAUUACUUCUAAAUUAGAGCACUGAGAGUGCUGAGGACUUUUUUUUAUUAUUUUUUUAAUUGAACCCCUGACAUAAUGUCGGCUGUGAAGUGGUGGGUGGCUUUCAGCAUUUUUGACUGCAUGCAUCCAGGUUGAGGUAGUAGGUUGUAUAGUUUAGAAUUACACCAAGGGAGAUAACUGUACAACCUCCUAGCUUUCCUUGGGUCUUGCACAAAGCGGCGUGAUGAGCGACCAUAAUUCCUCAGCAGUGUUUGCUCUGGACACAUGGAACAGGAAAGAGCAGGUAAGAUGAGCUGGAAAAACUUUUCUUUUCUUUUGCCUCUCUAGAACUUCACAAAUGUUCGUUCUCUCAGCACUUUUUUUUUUUUUUUUUACCUGUUGGUACCACAUUAUUGAGUAUUCAGCAAAUUCAGUGGACUAGUAAUGCUUGUCUUUCUUUAUUAGCAUUCGGGCAGCACAAUGUGUUACAUUCCUAAAAAGCACCAUGAGAACAUAUCAGUGUUAUUGCCUUCAUGGUCAGCAAUCAGAAGUAUCCAAAGGUAACGUGGAAAACGUCCUGCACUGUGUCUGUUAUUGAGAUGGGCAAGUGGGUUUCCCCUGGCGUUGGCUGGUGACUGGUUGGGUUAGAUCUGCCCCAGGAGCUGAGUGAGGCUGUGCCAGCAGCAGAAUGGGAGCUGGCACUCCUUGCCUCUCAGAAAGGUGGGAGGUUGGCACUGAUGCUUCCAGAUAAAACCAGGAAGGGUUUGUGUGAAAGUACCUAAAUCUACACAGUCCCCAGGAGAGCUGUUCUUAGGGAAUCUCCAUUUAUGAUUACAGUUAGCUAACAUGAUGGGUUUCAAGGUUUUUUCCCAGGCUUUUACAAUUAAAGCAGAUGUUUCAAAGGCUGAUGCUUCUGAUCAUAUCUUGUAAAGGUGGCUUGCUUCUCCAUCAUAUCAGUUUCAUGUAGGACUGCUGUUGUGUAUAUGCUUUAGGGUGCUUUAUUUCUCUGCCCCGUAGAUCUUGUUGCAGCUGGAAGUGCACCUUUUCAACUGAUGUAAAUCCACAAACUACACUAGCCCACAUCCGACAUAGAGUUAGUGGACACCUCUCCACAAUGGUUGAUUCUUUACCUGCUUGGCAUUUUUCUAGGAAAAACAUUACAUAUUCAUGGUAAUAAUUCCCAAACAGUAACAGCCUGUUUUCCUUUUUGGUGACAGAAUUGUAGACCUGCUUCGUACAGGUAUAAGGGUACUUCAUAAGGUUCAAAAAUGAUGACUGUGUGUACUAACACACGUUCGUGGCUAUCAAUCUUAAUGCCAGAUGGAUAUGUAAAUCAAAUAAUCUAUCUGCUCUAAAGAACAAGGAAUAAUAAUGAAAAAGGAGAAUGGUCAGUGGUACAGCGGAGUUAACAAUAAACAUAAUUCAAUGGGCAUAUUUUUCUUCUGAACAAAACAGCAUUCCAGCUCUCCCCCUGAUGAGAGGAAUGUAUUGUCAAUUAAUUAGACUUCCAUCAUAUGUCCUCGGAUGCCCUUCUAUCAUAUGCCUUCCAUAUGUCCUUAUGUCAUAUGCCUUCCAUAUGCCCUCUAUGUAAUUAAGCUUCUAUCAUAUGGCUUCUAUCAUAUGCCAUUUAAGUAGAUUUCCAGGAGAAUGUGGCAGUGUUACAAUUACGGACCUUUUGCAAUGAGUAAAGGAGCAACUCAUGAGCUGUAGAUUAGAAGAGGAGGACGCAAAAGGAAGGUGUCUAGCCCUGAACAGUUCCUUUAAUUGCCAGUAUUGUUUCUCCCUGCUUGCACAGUGAACAAACAGAAGUGUCCUAAUUUCCUUCUCUUCCAUUGUUGUUCUAUUCCCACUUUUUAUUCAGUUAUGCCUAUGAACAGUAGGAGAGAUAGUAACUGUUUUUAAGAGAACGUUUCCAUUGGUAUGUAAAAUGAAAAAGAAACAGUCCACCCCCUAGAAGACUGUUUGUCCUUUAAUAAUGAAAUCCAAACUUUGAUCUGAUUUUUGUCCUUUUAAGUCUGACGUACAAAGGGAAGUACUAGAAAUAUCGUGGUGGGAGGAACUAAUGAAAAUGAGAUGGUGCGCUUCAUUUGAGCACGCAUCCCUGUUCUCCAUUAUGGGCAAUCGGUGCAAAUAGUGCUGUGCAUUUCUUGGUGUGGUGAUUGCUUAGUAGAUAGUGUAGAAGAAUACGUAAUGAAAUGGAUUCCAAAUUUACUGGGGCUUACUAAGACCCCAAGUAGGCUAUGACGGCUAUAUACAUGAUGAAGAAAAGUGUAAGCAUCCAAGGAACGAUAAGGUCUUGGAAUGGUUUCCAAUGAAAAGACAGCUAGUGUGCUCACUUGCUUCAUGUACAUUUCUGUAUCCGUGCCCUCUCCCUUCCCAACAACUUCUGAGACCGUUUUCUAUCACCAGUCAAAUUUGAUAGAGCAGCAGUGACUCCCAAGACAAUUCUGCUCCAGAAAGCUUUACAGAACUUACAGCCAUGCAUCCCGUGUAGUUGAGAGGAUGGCUGAAAGGGUGAAGAGAAGGUAAAAUACUGUGAGACACUCUGAAUUGUCCAAACUAUAAGCUGGGGAGCAGUUCGUAGUAUGUGUAGGUUACCUGGACCACCUGGAUGGAAUGAGAAGAGUUUGGACAGAUUCCCACUGACUGGUAGCCAGCAUGGCCCUGAAGAUGUCCCAUUGUGACUUCACUGCUAUUUUAUAUACUCGACACAAGAUUAAGCUGGUAUUUACCAAAGAAUUGUCCUAUAUUUUGCUAGGUAGACGUGCUGCUAGUCACUAUUCGUAAUAUAGUUUCCUCACAGGUAGGUGACAGGUCUUGUUUUGAUUCUAGGUCACUAGGGAAAUGAUUCUGAAAAUGCUUGUUGUGGUCCUGCACUGUCGUUAUUAGGAUUUGCUGGUGUCACAGUUGUAAACUGCAUACUAAGGGAUGUCUUGGAGCCUCUUAUGGCUUAGCCAUAUCUCUUUCAACACCACUGAUUGAUUUAAAGAAUAAUUAAUAAGGUGUUGUAUUCAGUAGUAAUUUUUUGUUUGCUGGGCAGCAAGGAAUCACUGGAAACAGCGCAGAUUUUCUUUUGCUUCUGUGUUUUCACACGGCUGUGAUAGUUGUGAAAGGUGCCAGCCAACAGUCAUGAAGAAGGAGGAACUUUGCUUAUCCAUAAAUAAUGGGAUUUGAUUGCAUGCAGCCCCAGAAGCAUCUUCUGAGCUGCCUUGCAGCUGUCCUUUGAGGGGGCCAACCUGUGACAGUGAGAAAUCUGGGCAGGGCUGUCUCCUGGGUCUUGAAUGCUCAUCCUUUGGAAAGGAAACUGACAUUCAAAAACUUUCACUGUUGGAGGGAUCUGUUCUUUCCUUUUUUUUUUUAUCCCUUAAACAAUGCCUUUCAUCUGCUUCCACACCCAGCUGAAACUAUGCUGCAACACUUCUGCUGCUAAAUCAGAUGCAUUAAGUACAGUCAAAUUUAUACAUAAAAGUUUUGCAAGAACAGGGAUGAAAUAGAAUGGAAUGCCAGAAUGACUCAUUGUUUAAUGAAUAAGGCCCUAAGUGUUCUAUUGAUGCCAUUUAUAAAUCUGUAUAAAAUGUAUAGAAUUCAUGUCAUAACUGGAAUUCCAAGCACAGCAACCUUGUGAGCUAAAUUAUGAUGAUGAUAGGGUACUGCACAAAUUAAUAUGAAUUCUAACACGCUUCUGCUUGAAAGCUGCUCAGACAGUUAAAAAUAAGACAAUUUCAUUACAGAGAUUCAAAGCCUGGACCUCAGAAAUGGUCUCCUCUCUCCUUUUGAAGUUGCAAAUUGCUGAAGAAGGAAGUUCAUUUUGCCUGCGUUUGAGUCACAAAGUAUAACCUAUAAGGGAAAAAUCUAUGCUUUCCAUUAGGUAUAGAUACUGAUUACAGUGCACGGUGCAACUGGAAAAUAGAAGAAUUGGGUGGUAGAGACCAGCUCCAUAUCCAGACACUCAUCUAUCUGAAAUGAACAGCUCGAGGCCAGAGCAGAGGUCUGAGCACACAUCUCUUUCUGACCACCUUUUUUCUUCUCGUUUUCACUUUCACCUUUUCAUGGAUUUGCAGCUUACAUAUGAAACCAGAUGAAGUUCAGCACUUCCAGAAUGAGUUUUCGAGAGAUUCCAGUCAGAACCAAACUCCUGGGUGCGUGGUGUUGGGCUGGCAGCAUUAAACUUUUUGACAAAAACUUCCAAGGGUUGGAAAUUUUGUAUAACCCAAAAGAUCCAAAGGUUUUAUUGAAGCGAGGGGAAUGGCUUCUUUUUUUACAUUUUUCUUUUUUGACCAAAACAGAACUUCUGGUUGCCCUGACUCCACUGAUCUCCAGGCAGUCCCAGGCGCGUAUAUUUAGCUUUAUAGAUUCAAAAUAUAAAAUGUAUUCUCCUGAAGCAAAUCAGUUUUUUACGUGCAAUAGAGUGAAAUUAGCCUCUUUGUGCAAUGUCAUGGCCCUGUUUCUUGGUUGAAUAAGUUCAAGAAUCAGGUUUCUGGGGCAGAUAGGGAAGGAUUCUGAAAUCCGAUGUUAAACAUAGUGCCUCCUUCUUACUUCCAUCUCUCCCUGCUUCCUUCCACCUUUGCAGAAAACAGUUUUGUCUCCAGUUAGGUGCUCCAACCUGCAAUCGAGAUACCACUGUGCAGUGCUACAGUGCACUGCAAAUGAGAUACCACUGGAUAAAAAUAUUCCACUUCUAAAUUGAUGGUUUAAAGGCAGGGUAAGUUUGGCCAAUAUAGGGUCCUUGAUUUCCAUUUUCCAUCUACAUUCUCUUAGGUUCCUGUGUUCAGGUAACAGAACAACUGCGUCAUGCUGCAGAGGAGCAAAUGUUGGGGUGCGGGGCUUCCCCCUGUCCCUUUCAGACCACGGAGGAUAAACCCACUCCUAGCGUGUGUCACCCCACUGCCAUUUUCCCCUUCCACCCUUUGCCAAGGUCUGGUGACAUGACUGUGAUUUCCCUAAGCUCGUCUUCGUUACAGGUGUGACACACGGCUCAUAGGGUUUCAUUAUGGCUUUCAUAAUGUAUUAAUGAAAUGUCAGGAUCAAGUCAUUUAUAAUUAACAGUGACGUGUAAAUGUCAUGUCUAACAAUUGUAGUGUGAGUGUACUUUUGUGAAUGGGCCAUUUUUUACACAUGCAACUGACAGCAUCCAAAAAAGCCUUGACCAGACAGGCAAACAUUUGGUAAAGACAGACUUUUUUUUUUUUUUUUUUUUUGCUUUUGCAUUUUCCUCCUUGAAUCCCUGAUAGGCAGUCAGACCUUGUUGCCUGUUGUUCCUAAAUCCAGUACCAAAUCAGAGCUCAAGCCAUCAAUGGAAGCUUUUUUGAGCAUUCUAGAGCUUGGUCCUGUUAUAAAUGUAGAGUGGAUACAUACAUCCCUGCACAGUAUUGACAUGAAAUUCAGCUGAAUGCUGUCUGUAUUUUUGGAACCAAAAACGGUGAGGCAUGCAGAGCAGGAGCUGUGCUACCAAGUCUAAGUAGUUCAAAAAGAUGCCAGCAAAAAUGGGCCUAAGCAUGGAGAUAUCCGAAAUCGGCAUAAUGGAACCAUUCCCAUUAGAAAGGAAAACAAAUUUACAUCAUAAUGAAAAGAAAAGAAAUAAUGAGGAGGUAGAGUGAGGAAUUCUUGUAGUCUUGCAAAGUGAGUACAAGGAGACAUGCGGUGAAAUUAAACGGUGACAAAUUGAAAAUGUUUUAAAAGGCAAUUCUUUUUCACCAGUAUUUAAUUAAAAAUGAACCUAAUUGCUUUUAGAAGUUAACGGGACCAAGAAGUUUGCGAGUCUAGACCAGGUUAGAUACUGAAAUUUUUCAUAAGCAUAUGCAGAAUUGUACGAAUUCAUGAUGAUAACUUCAGAGCUGAGUUUAGACUUCACGUUUCAAGGCUUAGAAUGAAUGAAGUGCAGCAGUUCAGGACCAGGGAGGAACCAGUGGGAAGCACAGCUCUUGAUUGUGCAGAGCCACCAGCACUUGUCACACUUGGAGCAGGUAUGUUAUAGAAGUUUGCAUUCUGCCCCAGUCUGCAUCUGUCUUUUGCAAAUUAUUAAGCACGUAGUUUGCACUGACAAAUAAGAGUGAAGGGUUGAUAGAGCAGUAUUGAUAAUAAUUACCCAACAGCAUGGUCCACCUGCAGUUCCUCACAGCUGCUGUGUGUGAUGGGGAAGCGUUGCAUGACCACUGUACAGUGAAGAAAGCAGAGGGAGGUGAAGCUGGCUUUUCCGAACGGUGCUGCCUGGAAAUCUGUGGCUCCCAGCUUGGUACAAGGUUUGGGGUCGCUCCAUUCAGUCCCUGAAUGCUGUAGGCAAACCGUCUGUGUUCCUUAACAUUAGUGAGUUUAAAUAAUUGUUGCAAGCAGAAGGUCAAACCCAUGCCCAGCUUAAUGCCCUUGAUGUGAGUGUAUUUUAAAGGGUUGUGUUUUUUUCCUCGUGUUUGAAGUGGCUUCUCAUCUCUUCUGACAAGGAAUAGCAGUUGUGGCUCAAAGAGUGGUUUGCAAUAGUGCUUUUUGUAGUCUGACAAAUGCCACAGCUUCCCCUUGGCUUUCUAUUUCCUCCCAUAAGUGAAGUUGUUAGAUUUGGAGACAGGAUCUUAAAAAAAGAAUGAGGAAGAGAGGAAGAACAGGAAGGAAAUGGGAAGGGGAGAAUGCGAGGCACAAUUGCUGUCUGCUACAGAUCUUGUGGUCUGAGUUGAUUUUGGAAAUUGCCUUCCCAAUGGCUUUUGAAAUGUGAAAGGAGAACUUAUUAUUAAGGGAACUAAGAUAUUUCAGUCACGUGUUUCCCUUCAUUUGUAUGUGAGAAUAGUUACUGAAUAAGAAAUUAAAUAGUGUAGGUUUAGUGGAAAAAAUAAAAUCAGCGUCUGCUGCUCGCUGUGUUGGUAAUGAUGCAGUUUGACUGCUGAAUCACGUCUGUUUGUAGGGUUCUACGAUGCGUGGCACCGGUCAGUGAGCUCUAACCGUAGUGCUGCAGUGCAUCCUCAAGGGCCCUGUGCUGGUGGCUGUAUUUCCUAAAGGAUUACUCAGGGCUUCACGUCAGAAUUAGAGACCUGUAGUCUCUUCUCUCUUCAAUGAAUGGGGAUGGAGGAAUAGCUUAGUUCAUGCGAAUGACAGCAGGAUUUUUUUCUUUUUCCUGUCGUGCUUUAUAAGGUGUUACAUCCUGGCUUAGACUGCAAAGCAGACGAUUCCGGUUGCCGUGCAUGUGAAUCCUGCUCUGAAUCGCGGUGGUAGAAUCAUGCCACCUGGUUAUUUUGAAGCUUUAAGAUAGCUCCCAGACAAGCUGUAGGUGAUGGGACUCCUGCCCGUCCCUGUAGCAUUGCUCAAGCAGUGCCAUGGGGCAGCGAGUCCUGGUGCGACGCACGUUUUAAUUGCGGCCUGUACGACACAGGCAUGAAACCUCUACGGCAAUUUGUCAGAGUUACGCUGAGGAGAAAAUGAAUCUCUCGUUUGUCCGGGUGUCCAAAUGAGCUUUAACAUCACCAAACAUGAGAGAAUUCACUCAUGAACUUCAGAGUUUGUCAAGCAGUCCCCUUCCUUAUCGCGAGGCCUCGCGGCCUGCCUCGCGCCGCAUUGUGUUACGCACGGACAGCGGCCUUGCGUUACGUGUGAGCGUGGGUUUGUCCUCGUAUACCCUGCUGUGGAGAAGGCCAUUUUUAAAUCUUUAAUAGGGCAUUAGAGCAAUUUGCCUGUGAUUUAGUAAUAAGUGGGCAAGGAGAGUGGUGACAAACGAAGCCGGGAGGCCCUAGAAUUCUUUGAAUAUUCCAUGUUUUCCUGGAACUGGUGGGAAAAGGCUGCCAGAAAGGUCUUGGCAGGUUUUCUAGGUGGCUGGCCAAGUCUGAAGCAAAUGUGGAUAGUUAAUAGGCUAAUGCAGCUCCGGUUCCAAGUCCAUACAUAUAUAACAUACGUUUUUAUUUAAGAAAUCCCACCGCAUGGAGGAGCAAAUGUAGUGCUAAUAUAUCUUCCUGCAAGAAAAUGACAAGGGAAAAAACACUGUCAUCUUGUAAUGAUAAAACAAAGGGUCUUCUGCCCUUGUGUUUUGGAGACUUGAAUUGUGAUUUUAACAAGAGAAGAUGUAGGAAGUAAAAUCAGUAGACAGGCAGUGGCUUUCCCAUGGGGGCCCCAUAUUAUGGGAAUGGCUUAUAUAGCAAUAGUUUGCAUCUAAGGAAGAGACAGAAGUUGUUCGAAGAAUGGAUUUCCAUUGCAAGAUUGACUCUUCAUUGUUAAAAAAUGGUAAUUAAGCAGGAAAAUGAUCAAACAAUGACGUGGGACCGGCUGCUGCAGUUGGUUGCAUGUGGACAACCCCUUCUAGCAUGAAGCUGGAAUCCCUCUGUGGGUCAGGCUGUAAAAGUUAGGUCCUGCUAAUCAACCAUCUCAGUAUAAGUUAGUUUGGGAAGGGUUCUUCUGUGUGCCAGACUCGGAAUGUUGGCUCUCUGCAGCUGCAGGCACCCAGGAGUAGGUGUUCACUAUUGUGCCUGGCAUGAGUUGCUCCUGGGAAGCAGGAGUUCAUAUUUCUCUUGGGCAUCAGGUGAAUUAGCUUUGUAAUUUUACAGUCCUCUCCAGUGUAAAGGAUUCUUGUUUGUGCUCAGCCUGUGGGGCUUGUCUUGUUUUAUUAUUAAUGGGGAGAAGACUGUGCAUAGCCUCUACCAUUACCGUGGAACGAUUUAUUUGUUUGAUUAAGCCACUGGUGCAAAUCCUGAAGUUCUGCACCGGUCUCCCUAUGGGAUCUCUGAUGAGUUGCUUAUUUUUCUUUGGUUUUGCUCGCUGUCUAUAAAAUAGAGGUCCUUCUUCCACAGAAGGAAAGACAGAGGUGCUGAUCAUAUGUGAAUUGUUCAGUCUGCCAUGUUGCAUGUCAUAUUGGAAUUGCGAGUGAGCAUACUGUAUAACUAUAUGAAGAUAGAUUUCAUAUGGACUGCCGCCAUGCUGACAUAUACAUUCAUUAGCUAUACAGCCUUAAAACUGACAAUAUUUAUAAUCGAAUGCUACUCUGAUAAGAACACAAUCAACUUGAAAAAAGGAUGAUACUACAAUUCAAAAAUCCCAUUUAAAGAAUGUAAUUUAUUAUCGUAAUAGGUCAAGUAACCUCAUAUUCAGAUUGCUCUGUUUGUUUUCCUCAUUUUCUACCUCAUACAAAUUACAAGUUGCACUGUCUCUGUGUUGUAAAAACAACUGAAUUUAAACUUAGGAUGUAACAGAGCCUGCACCGCAGUGUUCAGUGAUGCAGAAGUACAGACUGGCACCAGGAGUGGGGAGACUGGCUGCUGUGCUUGCGUCCCGCUGCUAUUUCUGGCAUGCAGACUGAGCUGUGUCUGCUGGGCCAAACGUAAGUCCUCAGAUAUUGCUGCGUCUUCCCCGCGUCCUGACAUUUGUGCUCUCUGUCACAAGCCUCCUGAUAUGUGGCCUUCUAAUUUUUAGUUCAUUCUCAACACCAGUGAAGCAGCUGAAAACAAGUUAUAGUGUGUUAAGAGCUCUGCGUCUAGUUUCACCAGAGGUAAGGGCAACAGGACUUGCAUUCAGCCUUCCUGUAUGUUCAGGUUCCCAAGCCUGUUAUUUCUCUGACAGCAGGACCUAAAUGGCUUGGCAUCCUUUAGAUGCCCUGUGAGAAGAGGGUCCCUGUCCCCAGGAGCCCACAGUCUAAACAGAUAAGGCAGGCAGGAGAGGGAACACUGAGAGAUGGAGAAACUCGCCCAAGCCACUUAGCACGUCGAGCGGCGGAGCUGGGAAUAGGAACAGACCUUGUGAAUUCUCGCCACUGUCACCACCACUGAAAAUAUUUUGGUGUUCUACCUUUUGGUUUAAUUCUUAAGCAAUAGAUGAGACAAAUAUUUUUUUGUUGGGGAGAAAUAUGCCCCCCUUGUUUAAUUUUUUUUUCAAAUUGUGGCAAGCGUAGGCUUGCCUACGUACAAGAACACCUGGAAAACAAUUUUUUGUUUAUCUUUGAAAUAAUUCCAACCUCUCUUUAAAAAGAAAGUGAUUGCUGGUGAAAAGGGCUUAGAGUGUGACAUGAGGUCUGGGGCAUAUGUAGGAUGACUAUGCUCUGAGGUUCUGCAGCUCCUUAUAACCUGACAGGGCUCUUUACACACGUUAAUUAAGGCUCAGAGUCAUUUCUUUCUCAUGUGAAAUAGAUACGUUACUUAUUUUGGUUUUAUGCAGGGAAAAAUUGGGCAUAGACUGAGGGUCCACAGUGAAUUCAUGGAGGAGAAGGAAAUAGAUCUAUGGACUGCAGCGAGCAGGCUCAGCCUUUCCAUCUCUGUGCAGUGUGACCCGUAUACUUUUUGCCUCUUGAAAUAUAAUUCAUUCUAGCUCUGCUUUCGCCUCAUGGAUUUCUAAUUUUAAUUUAAUUUUCUACUUUUCCUGCUGGGUCAGAUUCCCAAAAUGUUGCUAAACUUUGUGCCUGUUGCUGAUGUUGGAUCUGGGUUCAGUCAUUUAGAUUCUAACUGAGUAGUCUCAGUGUGCAUUACUUUUACUGACUUUCAGGGGGGAAAGGAAAAAAAAAAGAGUUGAUUAAUUAAGGGACAUCACCUUUUUCAUGCAAUGAUUCUAUUUAAGUUUCAAACAAAUUUAAAUAAAAAACAUUAAAUGUUCAUCAUAGGAUAACAGACUAAUAAAGCUCCAUCAGUUAGGAACUGAAAUAUCUGAAAAUUUGUCAGAGUUUCAGCAUGAAACCUCAGAUCUUAAGGAGUACUGCCACCAGCUCAAAACCGAUUAGAUUUAUCUGAAAUUUUAGUGAGGUUCUUGGAGCUUUGGUCAUGUUGUAAGUGAAUCGAGCCUUAUGCGAAACUUCUGGUGGACCUGAAGCCAUGUGAAAUAUGAGGGUUUUCAGGUGCUUUAUGUGAUAUGGAAAUGGCAAAUCAUGCAGGAGUAGAUGUUAAACAUUAGUGCGUGACUUCGUCCAAACACGUUUGAAUUUCAUCUCGAGUUUUGGAGUUUGGUUAAAUCCAGUGUGUGCAGAAGAACUCACAUUCGAAAGCAGAUUGUGAACUCCCCGCAGGCAAAACACGCAUAACUCCAGGUACUGCGUUCCUGCUUCUCAUGCUCUUUCUUUGAUAGUGGAUGAAUUAAUCUCUGUAACCUUUCUUUUAAAUCCCUCUGUUACAUCCACCGACCUUUUAUUGAACUCUUGCCAUUUUCCCAAACUUGGUUUUAAAUAAGGCACGGAAUGAUGCAGAAUUCCAGGACUGUUGUGCCAGGAGGUGAACAGCUCUGCCUCAUUUGGCUUUUCACUUGCUUUUCUCACCUUAGGAUAAAUUGUUUUAUGGCUUUGUCCGUAAAUAAAUAUGGCUUUGUCCAUAAAAUAAUAACCAUAUUAUUUUAAUUGUCCUCCAUUAUCUAGAGAUUGAAAGACUGUAGCUCAGUGGUCUUUGAGAAAUACGUUAGGAGAAUUGGAGUCAGAUAGAAGAAUUAUAACAGCCCCCUCUCUAGGCCGAAUCACUGCCAGGAUAGUGCUUGGAUGGGGUAAUUUGCUGUCAUAGGCCUUGUUGGGUUUGAAGGUGAGAGCUGGGGGGUGGGUUGGGUUGGGUUAAAAGGACUCACUGGGGAUGAAAUGGAAUUAUAUGACCAUCAACUGUUCUGCAUCCUCUUUGUCGACUAACAGGGUUGAGGAUAACGAGAGUAAUCUGGACAUAGCAGCUUUCUUCCAAGGACCUCAGAACCCUCUGUGGACAUGGUAAGCUUUGAUGUGAUGGUUUUAUAUAUGGGGAAGCAAGGUAGGAAGAGGUGAAAAACUGCCUUGCUGUGGAAUUGGACAAUACAGGGCAGUUCAAAUUGGAAGCCUUCAGUUGUCCAACUCCUCACUUGGCAGUUAGAGGGCUGCUGUGGCCAUGCCCAAACCAUGACACUUCCCCAACCUUGCUUUCUGUGGAUAUGCCCCACACCGUGAAUUUUGCACCUUUCCUCAAUCACUGUUAAAAUUCUUCAUUUAUAUAGGUAAAUAUUUUUUCCUCCAUUGAAGACAUCUUAUUGUUUCUUAAAAUUCUUCUCACGUAUUCUCAGACAUGCUGCCCAUGUAGCUGAGGCAGAACUGGUGUUUUUACAAAUAUUUCCUAAAUGAUGAUGGCGUGGUAAAAUUACCAAUUUUAUUUUAUUCCCUACAGGAGAAGAAAAGCCUUAAGUUGGUCUGUAGUGAAGUUACUGACUUGUCUGAAAGACACCUCAAGGUUUUAUAGUUAAUGCUUAAGUCCCUAAAGCAUCCCCUCUGGCUGAGCCUCCCUUCUCCUAUGUGUUUUCUCCUUUGAACCACUAAUUCCAAUUCAUUUCAGAAAAAAAUCGUCAUCGUUUGUCUGCGCUCUGCUUUCUGCUCCAACUGUGCACCUACCAAGGUCUGCUUUGAACCCGUGUCCAUGAUUAAAUUCAUUCUUCCUUUCUGUUUUCCAGCUUCUCUCUGCAAAAUGGCUCUCACUCCAUUUCUGUGAGAACUCUUCCCACAAACCGGGUCCCUAAGAGGAUUAGUGAAGGGGAUACCAAUUUAUUUAUACUCACCUCAGCAUGGUAGCAGCCAAACACUGUAAGUUGCUGGAUUAUUAAAUGGCCUGUAGCACAUGAAAGAAGCUUCAAUCUUCUGGUGCGGUUCAGAGUGGACAGGUGUCUGCUGCACAGCUGCUCUGAACUGAUCCCCAAUUUUGGCAAGGUUUUAUUUUUUUUCCUUUUUAACCUGCUCACACUGGUAAGAUGAACAGGUGCGCUCAGAAAUAAGUGGACCGUGGAGAUUUGGUCCCUUUUUAAAGGCAAGACCAAUUUUCAGGCCUCUUCUGGUUGUACUUAUUUCACUGGGGGGAAGGAAAAAAAGAACAAAAGAGAGGUACGGAGAGUUAGGGAAACCCCUCAAACUUUGUUUAAAUUACAAAUUCCUGGCACUCCCACUGCCAGGUGAUGCUGCCAUUUGUGUUUUCUUCUAUAGUGCCUGGCUUGCACGGUCGCAAGCAGAGUUAAACACAUGGCUAUGACCACAAGAGGAUGACACCUCUGUUUCUUUGUGCCAGCCUGGAGGCCCUUAGGUGCUGGAAUUUAAGUCUGAAAAACAAGGUUGCUGGACUCUAGUAAAUAAAGUGUCCGGAUGCUAGCGAUGAUUCAUAAAAGCAAUUAAAAAAGGAAAGUGCUUUGCCACUGAGCGUAAUGUCUUGAAGAUGUCCUGAAGUGUGUGUAAUGCUGCAGACAGUGGUCAGUGGGUAGUGACCGCUGUGCUUAAGAUUACCAAUCUGUUUCCAGCAUAACUCUUCAAUUGGUUCUGGUGAUCAAAACUUUUCAUUUUUUGGUAGCUGAAUCUUCCUUAUUUAGCCAUCGUUUCAACAUAGUUCCCAUCCCUUCCUUCUUAAAUCUGUGAAGAACAUCUACUGAGAAUGUAAUAUUUUCCGUGGCAGAAAUAUGUUGUUUGAAAUUUAAAUACCGGACAUGACAAAUAAUUGAAAUUCAUCAAACAAGAUUUGGUUGUGGGGUCGGGUUUUUUUUUUCAGUGCUACCCACUUGCCUUGCAGCCCCGACCUUCCACAAGGCACAGACCACCCCACUUGUACAGCUUUCAAAGCCAUUUGCAAUAAGCAAGACCGAACUCUGUUACAACACGAUUGGGAUUCUUGCUGUGUGCAGAGAUACCCAGCACGGCCUCGUUGCCUAAGCGAGAGGUGGGCAUGCUCUGCAAGCAUCUCCCUGCAUGGCUUUUCCAGUCCUUGACUAACCUGUGAGCUCCCAGCCAUGCUGCUAGCUCUGCUGCUGCUGUUCUAGGGUAGAUGCUGCCCAUUGUGUUGACUCCUUCAGGUGGAUGCCUCUUGCUUCCCUUGGUGUCUGUGCGUGCUCUGGAGCUGGGGCUUGGCUUUGCUGUGCCCUUCAUUAGACCGGGCGUAUAUGCUAAGGGAAGCAAAAUAGUUUACUGAUUUAUCAUGGAUCAUUAGAUGGAGUAACUGUUCUUAAAACAUCACCAGUAUAGAUACAAUAAUUAGAGAUGUGCUUUUGUUAACAUUGCCAGCCUCUACCCUCUUGUACAGUACCCUUGGGUACUAAAUAAUUACCCACUUUGUGUGGUUAUCUAGCUCACUAAUUACCCACAAAAAUUGGGGUCAGGUGUUAACUGCUUGAAAUAAGUAUCCUCCAAAGACUCGGCUAAAUUGUGUAAAGAAAUUAUGUGUUUGCAGCAAAACUUUAAAAAAAAAAAAAAAAGCAAACUUUUUUUGUUGCUGUUGGAAAGGAGA